rnacentral:sRNA from 1 species
AUUGUGACCUGUACCUAUUUAAUGGAGGCUUAGCAAAUUUGAUCCAUCAUUUCAAUAUGAUUGUCAAGAGUGUAAGGAUGGAGCUAUUGUGGCUCAUGGUAGCUGUAUCAUUUGUGGGACUUGUGAGCUGUCAGCCCACAUUUGAGAAUGAUCAAUUGGGUCUAUCACAACCUGAUGAGCAACAAGCUCUGGAGAGCACUAAAGAAUUACUUGAAGAUGGAAUCCUGUAGAAUCAGUUCCUGUAAUAAGAGAAACACGAGGUGGAAAUAGCAAAUAUGGUGGUGGAAAAGGAGGGGGUGGCGGAGGUGGUAAAGGAGGCGGAGGUGGAGGUGGUGGCAAGAAAAGUGGAGGAGGAGGAGGAGGAAAAAGUAAAAAGUGGUAAAAAUACAUAUUAACAACUUGAAUGUUGACUGCUUACAUUCUACUGUCUUGAAAGAAGAAUAAAAAUUAAAAAUUGAA